CAGUCGCCGCGGGAAUACGGAGGGUGCAAGCGUUAAUCGGAAUUACUGGGCGUAAAGCGUGCGUAGGCGGUUCGUUAAGUCUGUUGUGAAAGCCCCGGGCUCAACCUGGGAAUGGCAAUGGAUACUGGCGGGCUAGAGUGUGUCAGAGGAUGGUGGAAUUCCCGGUGUAGCGGUGAAAUGCGUAGAGAUCGGGAGGAACAUCAGUGGCGAAGGCGGCCAUCUGGGACAACACUGACGCUGAGGCACGAAAGCGUGGGGAGCAAACAGGAUUAGAUACCCGCGUAGUCCCUGUCUCUUAUAC
rnacentral:rRNA from 1 species